UACGAAGGGUGCAAGCGUUACUCGGAAUUACUGGGCGUAAAGCGUGCGUAGGCGGUUUGUUAAGUCUGUCGUGAAAGCCCUGGGCUCAACCUGGGAAUGGCGAUGGAUACUGGCAAGCUAGAGUACGGUAGAGGAUGGUGGAAUUCCCGGUGUAGCGGUGAAAUGCGUAGAGAUCGGGAGGAACACCCGUGGCGAAGGCGGCCAUCUGGACCAGUACUGACGCUGAGGCACGAAAGCGUGGGGAGCAAACAG
rnacentral:rRNA from 1 species